AUUGAAGUUGAUGACGACGAUUUCAACGACCCUUUUGUUCCUCGAAAGUUGUUCUUAUUUAAUAUGGAUUUUUUCAAGGACGGCUCAAAGAGUUCCAUGCCAAAAGAAACCGUGUCUGUUUUGGACGUUCCUCCACGUGCAUCUGAGGAUAACUAUGUGACAGAACCUGUGAUAGAAAAGAAGUUAUUGCCUACAAAAAGAAGAAGCCUUGGAAGACGUAUUUUAAAGUUCUUCAGACUGAAAUAAUUCAAUUUCUUAUGGAUAUAUACAUGUAUAUGCUAAAUUAUUGUAGAAAAAAUGUUGAAUUUGACGUUUU